AUAGAAACGGAGAAAUGA
rnacentral:piRNA from 1 species